rnacentral:rRNA from 1 species
AGAAUCAACGCUGGCGGCGUGCCUAACACAUGCAAGUCGAACGCGAAAGGGGAGCAAUCCCUGAUUAGAGUGGCAAACGGGUGAGUAACACGUGGGCGACCUACCUCAGAGUGGGGGAUAACCUUCCGAAAGGAGGGCUAAUACCGCAUGACAUGCCGUGUUUGGAUACACGGACAUCAAAGCCGGGGAUCGCAAGACCUGGCGCUUGGAGAGGGGCCCGCGUCCGAUUAGCUAGUUGGUGAGGUAACGGCUCACCAAGGCUCCGAUCGGUA